rnacentral:rRNA from 1 species
UACGGAGGGUGCGAGCGUUGUCCGGAAUCACUGGGCGUAAAGGGCGCGUAGGCGGCCUGAUAAGUCGGGGGUGAAAUCCUGCGGCUUAACCGCAGGGCUGCCUUUUAAACUGUCAGGCUAGAGCACAGUAGAGGCAGGUGGAAUUCCCGGUGUAGUGGUGAAAUGCGUAGAGAUCGGGAGGAACACCUGUGGCGAAGGCGGCCGUCUGGGCCGACCCUGACGCUGAGGCGCGAAGGCGUGGGGAGCGAACGGG